AACGAACGCUGGCGGCGUGGAUAAGACAUGCAAGUCGAGCGCUGAUUUGAGGGUAGCAAUAUUUUCAAGUCGGAGCGGCGCAAGGGUGCGUAACACGUGGGAAUCUGCCUUGAAGUGUGGGAUAACUCCGAGAAAUCGGAGCUAAUACCGCAUGUGAUCGUAAGAUCAAAGUUGGGGAUCGUAAGACCUGACGCUUCAAGAUGAGCCCGCGGCCUAUCAGCUAGUUGGUGAGGUAAAAGCUCACCAAGGCUAAGACGGGUAGCUGGUCUGAGAGGACGACCAGCCACACUGGAACUGAGACACGGUCCAGACACCUACGGGUGGCAGCAGUCGAGAAUUUUUCUCAAUGGGCGAAAGCCUGAAGGAGCGACGCCGCGUGGGGGAUGAAUGGCUUCGGCCCGUAAACCCCUGUCAUUUGUGAACAAAUUGACUCACUUAACACGUGUGUCAUUGAUUGUAACGGAAGAGGAAGGGACGGCUAACUCUGUGCCAGCAGCCGC
rnacentral:rRNA from 1 species